AUACGGAGGGUGCGAGCGUUAAUCGGAAUUACUGGGCGUAAAGCGUACGUAGGCGGUUGGUUAAGUUAGAUGUGAAAGCCCCGGGCUUAACCUGGGAACUGCAUUUAAAACUGGCGAACUAGAGUUGAGUAGAGGGGAGUGGAAUUUCAGGUGUAGCGGUGAAAUGCGUAGAGAUCUGAAGGAACACCAGUGGCGAAGGCGACUCCCUGGACUCGAACUGACGCUGAGGUACGAAAGCGUGGGUAGCAAACAGGAUUAGAUACCCUAGUAGUCC
rnacentral:rRNA from 1 species